ACAGAAAACAGGAAGAAAAGUUUAUACAACACAAAAAAAUCUCGUAUUGUUCGCUUAUUAUUGGCUUUGAUUAUUUGAUUUUUUUUUUUUGUCUCAUUCUCUUUUUUUUUUUGC
rnacentral:ribozyme from 13 species